rnacentral:lncRNA from 1 species
CCAAGUGGACCCAGUAAGGUCAGGGAAGGCGGGAAGAGGCUAGUCGGCGCCUUUGCUGGCUGCGACCAGGAGGGUGCAGCCCCCUAGGGAGGUCCUGGCUCUCCUGCCAUGCUGCCCUCCCCUCCCUCCCUGGUAGGAGUCCUUCUCCCAGGCCCAUAUUUGCACAAAUGCUUGCCUCGCUGCUCACUCCAGAGCCCCAGCCAAGAGGUGCUAUUUUAAGAUCCCUGGACGGGAACAUUGUUGGUGGGAACAGCCCCAGCCAGCAAGCUCCCAGUUCUCAAAAAAGGGAAAGGCCUGGGUGAAUGGGCGGCCUCUGGGGUGUGCAGAGGGGCUGCCACGUCGACAUGACCCUCUGCCCAGGCCAGGUGCCAGCGUCUCCUCCCCACAGGGGGAAGUCAAAGAAAUAAGCCCUCCUCCUGUGGGGAAAGCACGGCAGACUUCAGGCAAUGGUGGUUGGACAUUUGCCCUGCCCCUUAUUAUAUGGUCAUGUCCACCCCCCUCACUUCAGUGGGCCUCCGUUUCCUCACGGGGUUGUUAAAAUGCAUUAAUCAUUAAAAUUAUUGUUUGCCUGGC